rnacentral:lncRNA from 1 species
UAGUUGAGAUCAGACCCCUAAGAAACCGAGGAUGCAAAGAGUUUGCUGCGUAUAAUGAUGAUAGUGGUAUAAUCAGCUGCAAUAGCAGCUUAGGUCACAAUAGUUGAGGGAGAGGAGGAGAGGGAAGAGAGGGUAAGAGAGAGAAGAAAAUUUCAAAUAGAGCACGGAGGCGAGAUAGAUAUCAACGCAAAGAUGUUUAGAGGAGGUGGCAUGG